GAUCUUCUCACAUUCAUCAUGAUCAAGUUUCAGCAAACUUUCCAUAACAAAAAGAAGAUUCCUCUUGGAAAUAGAUGUUUCUUCUAGUAUGGAAGUCACGGUGGAGGAAAAUUGAGAGCCGAUCUUUCCAUUAGAUUCCAUAGCACUCUUAACAAUAGAAUCGACUGAGUUGAUGGUUCUUGUUUCUUGGGAAUGAAGGGAUUCUUG
rnacentral:misc_RNA from 1 species